GGAGGAAAAAGAAGAACACCCAAAUAAAAAAAAAUUAAGGGGUGGAAGAGGAAGAUGCCCUGAAGAACAGAGAGAGAGGGAGGAGCGUCAAAAUUCCGAUGAGUUCGCCGUCUUCCGCCAUUACUCUUCGAGAUCAGACGGUGAAUAAUAGCCAUUGAUGAUCCAUUUACAGAGCUCCUCCGCCACUGAAACCCUUCUUCAUCAAUUUGCCGUAAAGUUCUCACAAAUUCCCUGUUUCUGUGUUCUUUAGAUUCUCUGAUUUCUCCCUUUAUUCAGGAGCGAUUAUCUCAAAUUUCGUUCAAAAAACCAAUGCUCAGAUCUGCGUUGAUCAUUUGUGUCAUUGAGUGAAAUUCAAUGAUUGGUAAUCGAAAAACGACGUAACAGUGUUCUUUUGAAUUCUCCUUCUCAUCCUGUGAAAUUUUGGGGGAAAUCUGUGGUUCGAUCGAUUAAUGGCAGCUUCAAGGAAUGUGGUGGGGCUGAAGGAUGAGGAGAAGCUGAAGGAAGAGAACUCGACGGCUAAGAAGGCUAAAUUUGAGAGGUUUCCAUUGUCGAAGUGGGAGGUAGCGGCGGCUUUUGGCAUCUUCCUUGUCUGCUCCACUGGCCUCGUUUGUGUGUAUAUGACGAUGCCCUCUGCAGAAUACCAGAGCGUUAAGAUCCCACGAACGCUUUCGGAUCUUCGGAUGCUUAAGGAUCUCUUUGCAAAUUAUGCCAAAGAUCAUCCAGCACAAUUCAUUCUAGGUUAUUGCUCCACCUACAUAUUCAUGCAAACGUUCAUGAUUCCUGGAACAAUUUUCAUGUCAUUGCUGGCUGGAGCUCUAUUUGGUGUUAUCAGAGGCCUUCUAUUAGUUGUCUUUAAUGCAACAGCUGGUGCAUCCUCUUGCUUUUUUCUCUCCAAGUUGGUUGGAAGACCUUUAGUUUACUGGGUGUGGCCCGAAAAGUUGAAAUUGUUCCAGGCAGAGAUAGCGAAGCAUCGAGAAAAGCUACUCAAUUAUAUGCUCUUUCUAAGGAUAACACCGACGUUACCGAACCUUUUUAUCAACUUGGCUUCACCUAUUGUUGACAUCCCAUUUCAUGUGUUCUUCUUGGCUACUUUAAUUGGCCUUGUUCCAGCAUCCUAUAUCACUGUCCGAGCUGGACUUGCACUCGGAGAUCUGAAAUCAGUCAAGGAUUUAUAUGAUUUCAAAACUUUGUCUGUGCUUUUCUUUAUUGGUUUCAUCUCCAUUCUGCCCACACUUCUAAAGAGGAAACGAGUAUACGAAUGAACGCAAUUUUUUCGGGCUCUGUGUAUGGAUGGCUGCUAUAUCAGAUUGAUAUUGAUUUCAAGUGCUCUGAUCGACGAUGCUCGUUGUGGUGAUACCGUGGCGAGGUUCAGAUGCAAAAAGGUGUACCAUCAAGCUGUUAUAUAGCUCAAAUUAUACGUCGUUCGGUAGAUGAAUCGGCAGUUGUUUGGAGGGUUUAAAAGGAAAAAAUAGGUUGAUAUACUAAAAUUAGACUCAAAAGAAGAUUACAAUGAUUGGUGUGGACUGCAGAUUGUGAUGUGAAAGGAAGAAAAACAACAUUUUGUGGUGGGGUUUUAAUCUUUAUUUUUGUAAAUUUUUUUCGAGAUUAAUUGAUAUGUUCGAGUCCUCAAAGUCGGAUUUUGAGGUUAAUUUU